CGGGGCCUCCUGCUUCCUCUUGGUCUCCAAGCCCUUUCUCCUCCAAGAGGAAAUGACCCUUUGGACACACGGCUGGCCAUUUUCACUUGAAGUUUACAUCAACCCUGAUGGAUUCUACACAGUGGCUGCAGGACAAAGCCUGGUGCCCUCGGGACAAAGCAGUGCUGUCCCAUAGACCACUUGCUGUGUAAGAGGAAGAGGGCUGCCAACUAAAGACUAAGCUGCAAUCAGACCGUUAGAUCAGAGGAAUCAGACUUCCUAUCAUGAGUCUGGCUGGGGGAUUGUGUUGGCAUGCAUUCCUAACUUUGCCAAGUCUCAUUAGUAAUUCCAUUAGGCUUUAAGUUCCUUGAGAGCAAGAACCACAUUUAUUAGCAUUAUCAGCAUAUCUUUAAGCUGACACACUGCCUGGCAUAGCGAGUAUUGAAUGAAUAAAUCUAUCUCCUCCCUUCA